ensembl:lncRNA
CUCCACAGUUGUAGUACCAAAUGGAGUGAGAGAAUAGAGGAGUGUGUGAGAAGAGAGGAUAUUGAUCAUGUCAACACUUGGCAAGAGAUCUCACCAGUGACAAGAGACAGAGAUGUUGCCCUUUGGCCCUCACUUUAUGAGUGUGUUCUCCAUAGAAUUCAUUUCCUGGCAUGUAAACAUAGAGCUGAGGAUGUAAAUUUAUGAAUAGCAACCGGAUAACCCGACCCGUAAAUAGGCAAUUGUGAUUGGAAAGGUUUGUUGUAUAACAGAUACGGAUUUGCAGCUUUAUAAUGUUUAGGUUGUGAUUAUGAUUACAAAUUUAUGGACUUACUUACUACUUAUACAAUUACACUGUUAAAUCAAACGAUUACAAAUCAACGGUUUGGAUAUAAAGAUCUCACCAUUGUAAUGUUAAAAAGGUUGGGGAUAAAUGGGUGGAUCCCAAGUGACUCCACAUGACUCCAGAACAUGAAAAUGGUGAGGCAAAGUGGAUGGAUCCAGAGCAUGAUAAGGGCAGGACUAAAUGGGUGGCUCCGGAGAACAGAGGGGACAGGGUCAGGUGGGUGGCUCCAGAGAACAGAAGUGGCAGGGUCAGGUGGGUGGCUCCAGAGAACAGAGGGGACAGGGUCAGGUUGGUGGCUCCAGAGAACAGAGGGGACAGGGUCAGGUGGGUGGCUCCCGAGAACAGAGGUGGUGGGGUCAGACUGGUGGCUCUAGAGAACAGAGGGGACAGGGUCAGGUGGGUGGCCUAAGAGAGCAGAGGUGGUGGGUAUGGAAAGGAUGCAGCCAAACAGGUGACCCAGAGAAUGGAAAGGGUGGGGCCAGGUAGGUAGCUCCAAAGCAUGCAAAGAGUGUGGCCAGGUGCGUAAAUCUGGAUCAUUGAAAAGGUGGCCAAAGUGGG